rnacentral:rRNA from 1 species
GACGAACGCUGGCGGCGUGCUUAACACAUGCAAGUCGAACGGAAAGGCCCUGCCUUUGUGGGGUGCUCGAGUGGCGAACGGGUGAGUAACACGUGAGUAACCUGCCCUUGACUUUGGGAUAACUUCAGGAAACUGGGGCUAAUACCGGAUAGGAGCUCCUGCUGCAUGGUGGGGGUUGGAAAGUUUCGGCGGUUGGGGAUGGACUCGCGGCUUAUCAGCUUGUUGGUGGGGUAGUGGCUUACCAAGGCUUUGACGGGUAGCCGGCCUGAGAGGGUGACCGGCCGCAUUGGGACUGAGAUACGGCCCAGACUCCUACGGGAGGCAGCAGUGGGGAAUAUCGCACAAUGGGCGGAAGCCUGAUGCAGCAACGCCGCGUGCGGGAUGACGGCCUUCGGGUUGUAAACCGCUUUCGCCUGUGACGAAGCGUGAGUGACGGUAAUGGGUAAAGAAGCACCGGCUAACUACGUG